rnacentral:rRNA from 1 species
AUGGUGUUCCCUUGCAUGCUCCGCAGCGGCCCAAAUGCGAUGAUUUUGGUAGCCGCCCCCGUCGGCCCUCGUCCUGUCUAUGAUUCGGAUGUGGAUGUAUGUGAACCGGAAAUUCCAACCGACCCUAUUGUCGAGAGGUUAAAUUUAGUUGAAGAAGAAAACAAUUUCUUGAAGGAAAAAAUAAAAAAAAUUGAGGAGGAGAAGAUGAUAUUGGAGUUGCAUGUUGCGGAUGUCGUCGAUGAUCACAAGAUCAAGAUGGAUGCAAUGCGCUUGAAGAUUAGAAAGAUUAGAAAAUAUGCCAUUCAUACCGAGGCUUGA